rnacentral:rRNA from 1 species
CAGUCGCCACGGGAAUACGAGGGGGGCAAGCGUUGUUCGGAAUUAUUGGGCGUAAAGGGCGCGUAGGCGGUUUGACAAGUCUGAUGUGAAAUCUCUGGGCUCAACCCAGAGUCUGCAUCGGAAACUGUCGAGCUUGAGUAUGGGAGAGGUGAGUGGAAUUUCCGGUGUAGCGGUGAAAUGCGUAGAUAUCGGAAGGAACACCUGUGGCGAAAGCGGCUCACUGGACCAUUACUGACGCUGAGGCGCGAAAGCUAGGGGAGCAAACAGGAUUAGAUACCCCCGUAGUCCCUGUCUCUUAUAA